GAAGGGGUGGUCAAAGAGGGGCAAGGGGAUGGAGACAAGGAAAUCAGGGUUAUAGGGGCAGGGGUAACCAAGGAGGAAUAGACAGGAACACUUGUUUCAAUGUGGCCACUGGAGGAAUGAGUGUCCACACCCCAGGAAACCCCACACACCCCAACAACCCCACCUUUCUCAAAAUAUGCCCUGUAGGCAAGAACAACACCAGACCCACUCCCAACACCACUGGCCAGCAUAUCGCUUAGUUCAGGACUUUAGAGCCCUGAAUAGUUUAAUUGUGCCCAUUUCACCCAUUGUCCCUGAUGUGACAUCCCUCAUUACAGCCAUUCCACAUGAUGCCACUUGCUUCACUGUCAUUGAUUUAAGUAAUGCAUUUUUUCUAUACCUAUUGAUCAAGAGACACAGCUACUUAUGGUUUUUACUUUUUGAAGGCUGUCAGUUUACCUGGACACGCUUACCCAAGGCUAUGUGGAUUCCCCAGCUGUUUAUUCGUUGGUACUCCAACAUACUCUAAAAAAACAUGGACCACCGGUCAUGGUUCCGUCCUUUUUGCAAAAUGUUGAUGAUUUGUUGUUAUGUAGCCCUAGCUAUGAGGCAAGCACUGUGGAUACUGUCAGCAACUAUAGGUCACAAGGUUGUUAAACACAAAAUGCAAUUGUGUAAAUCAAAGGUUGAAUACUUAGGUUUUGUUCUGGCUUUAGGCACCAGACAAUUGAGUCCAAAAUGUAUUGAGGUCAUUCAGAGGAUUCCUACACCCACUACUCGGAAGGAGUUGCUCACCUUCCUCGGCAUGAUUAAUUACUGCCGCCAAUGGAUCCCUGAAUGCUCCCAUUAUAACUCAAUCCUAAGGGAGGCUGUACGUUCUGACAGCCCUGAAAAUGUCUGCUGGUCACCAGACAUGCUAGCUGCAUAUAUUGCCCUUACAGUUGUUAUUGUGCAAGCCCAGGCUUUAGGACUACCUGUGUAUUGUAAACCAUUUCAUUUGUAUGCUUGGGACAAUUGUAAAACCAUGGCCGCAGUCUGUGCACAAGAGCAAGGAGGCGGUAUGCGUCCCAUAGCAUUCUUUUCCAAAGUAGUUCGAGCUCCGGUACAGGGUAUGCCGGCGUGUCUCAGAGCAUUGAUAGCAUGUGCAAUGGCUGUUGAAACUGCUACUACUAUCACACUAGGGCAUCCUACAAUACUUCAUGCCAGUCACCAGGUCACUCAGCUGAUGACAAAUCUCACCACACAACACAUGACAGCCCAGCGCUUCAGUGGUUAUGAGAUUCUUUUUUUUUUUAAAUACCCAGAAUCUGUCUUUUGGAUUAAACAAGGUUUAGAGAAAGAUCAAAAUGAUCUGUUCUCUAAAGAGGGGAGAAUAGGCAUACUUGAAGAAUAGGCAUACUUGAAGCAAGCUGAUUUAUUUUCAUCAGUCAGGCACAUAGCAAGCACCAUUCAAUUCCUCAUGAAUUCAUUUUAUAU